rnacentral:rRNA from 1 species
AACGUAGGUGGCGAGCGUUAUCCGGAUUUACUGGGCGUAAAGGGUGUGCAGGCGGGGUACCAAGUGGUGUAUGAAAUAGCCCGGCUUAACCGGGCGAGGUUAUGCCAGACUGGUACUCUGGAGUGCGAGAGAGGGGCGUGGAAUUCCGGGUGUAGUGGUGAAAUGCGUAGAGAUCCGGAGGAACCCCAGAGGCGAAGGCGGCGCCCUGGCUCGCAACUGACGCUCAGACACGACAGCAUGGGGAGCGAACGGG